GACUACCUAGGCGAUGAUCGGUAGCUGGUUUGAGAGGACAAUCAGCCACACUGGGACUGAGACACGGCCCAGACUCCUACGGGAGGCAGCAGUGGGGAAUUUUCCGCAAUGGGCGCAAGCCUGACGGAGCAAUACCGCGUGGGGGAGGAAGGUCUGUGGAUUGUAAACCCCUUUUCUCAGGGAAGAAGCUCUGACGGUACCUGAGGAAUCAGCAUCGGCUAACUCCGUGCCAGCAGCCGCGGUAUACGGAGGAUGCAAGCGUUAUUCGGGAUUAUUGGGCGUAAAGCGUCCGCAGGCGGCUAGAUAAGUCUGCUUUCAAAGAGUGGGGCUCAACCCCAUAGAGGAGUGAAACUGUUUAAGCUAGAAGUUUUGGUAGGGGCCGAAGGAAUUCCCAGUGUAGCGGUGAAAUGCGUUGAUAUGGGAAGAACACCAGUUGGCGAAGGCGCUCUGCUGAACGAGACUGACGCCUGAGGGACGAAGCUAGGGGAGCGAAAUGGGAAUCAAUAUCUCCCCCGGUUAGUUCAA
rnacentral:rRNA from 1 species